GUGCUUGCUUUGGCAGCACAUAUACUAAAAUUGGAAUGAUACAAAGAAGAUUAGCAUGGCCCCUGCACGAGGAUGACGCGCAAAUUCAUGAAGCAUCUCAUAUUUAA
ensembl:snRNA U6 U6 spliceosomal RNA